GGAUGUUGAGACUCAAGGUGAAUUCGUUAAUACGAGAGGCCAACAAUGCGAUUUAUCCGGAAACAGAAGAUGUGGUGGCUUUUGUGAACUGGCUGCUUUCUUGGGUUAGAGGAAUCAAGGAACCAAUGUCCAAAAAAUAUAAGUUUUCACCUUUACCCUAAAAAGCUAAAAGACAGCUUGCUUACAUCUACAAGCAACAUUUUACUGUUGUCUGAAAGACACCUUGCUUGCUGCAGUCUCUAUAAGUACUUCACAUGUAUCAACACUCCACAAACACUGUGCUGAAAGACAGCAUGCUUGCUUCAGUCUCUAUAAAUACUUCACAUGUAUCAACACUCUACAAACACUCAACUACACUCAACUGAGAUGAAUUAAACUUU